CGUCUUGCCAAUAACAACACAUUUCAGGGCUUUGUCAAUAGAUGUUAUUUAUAAAUAUGGCAUCUUCUUUCCAAGGUGGUGCAAUUAUACGUGGUUCCUCGUGGUUUCAGAAAAAAAUUAAUUUGAGACCUUUGGAACGAGGUUGCCAUAUUAUUACAGAAGAAGUUAUUAAACAAUUACCAGAAAUUUCGCAGUUUGUUGUAGGAUUUCUUCAUGUUCAAAUUAUGCACACUUCAGCAAGCCUAGCACUCAAUGAGAACUGGGAUCCUGAUGUGAGGAAAGAUGUUGAGAUGUUUCUUUCCAGGUUAGUUCCAGAGAGCAUGCCUUUCAGACAUUCUUGUGAAGGUCCUGAUGACAUGCCAGCUCACAUCAAAUCCUGUUUUAUGGGCUCUAGCUUAACCAUUCCUAUAACUAAAGGAUCAUUGAAUAUUGGCACUUGGCAAGGAAUAUGGCUCUGUGAACAUCGAGAUAGAGCAGGUUCCAGGAGACUUUUGGUAACUAUUCAUGGAGCUGAGAGUGAAUGAAGACACAUGUUUUUAUGUGACUGUUGAAAUUGUUUUGAAGAGGAAUUCUAAUUUUUUCUCUUAACAAUACUCAGUAAAUUCACAAGUACUUAACAUGCUACUUGGCUCUUCUGGAUCACCUCGUAGCUUUACCUUCCGAAUCUGCAGUUUGGACUUACGGUAUUUCCCAAAUAAUUUUGACCUUAACGAAUUGUAAAUAAAUAAAUAAAUGUAAUUUUUGUCGUUUCCAAAACUUUAUUCUUUAAACUUAGUAAUAUUAAUUGUAUUUUAAGUAACAAUAAUGUCAGAUUCUGAACUGUUUUAUUUAACAGUUGUAUAUUUCUUAGUCAGUAGCAAUAACUCUGAGCUUUGGGUGUUUCCUUAUCAUUAAUGUUUUCUUCAGCCAAUUAUGGUUUGAACUUAUAAAUACCAAUUGUUACAUUGAUUAAUGCAAGAAAUGACUUCUUAAUCCAGUGUUUGUGUUAUUUAUUUGAAUACUUUUUACAAAAAUAAUGUUUUACUGAAAUAUUUUAUUUAUGGAAUUUGAUCUUAAAAGCAAUAACGACGACAAAAAAUAGUAAACAAAAUGGAUAUGUUUAUCCAACAAUUCCUUUAAGCAUGUCUGACUAUAAAAUAAAAGCAGGAGGUCUUUGUUAGGGUAUUCUGUAUGUUGGUAAUAAGUUGUUUUUAAACAAAAUGUUAUUUUUUCUGUUUUUUAAUUAGAGGGAUUGUUAUGAAUCUCUUGAUAGGGAUUUUUCAUAUAUUGUGAUAAAUAUGAAAUAAACACCUUUUUUG
rnacentral:misc_RNA from 1 species